UGGGUCUGCAGCAGGACCCAAGGGUGGGGUUGUUCGCCCAUUAAAAGGGAUCGUGAGAUGGGUUUAGACCGUCGUGAGACAGGUUUGUUGCUUGGUGGUUGAAGUGUUUAGUGUCUGAUGGAAGAGGCCCUUCAGUACGAGAGGAACGAGGGCUUGGGGCCACUAGUUUACCAGUUGUCUGACAAGGCAAUGCUGGGUAGCCACGCCCUGAUGGAUAAGAGCUGAAAGCAUCUAAGCUCGAAACCACCCCAUAAACGAGACACAUAUUUCAUAACUCGUAAAAGACGAGAUUGAUAGACUGCGGAUGUAA
rnacentral:rRNA from 2 species